rnacentral:pre_miRNA from 1 species
GACCGUCCACCGCUCCGUGCUAUCAGCGCCAUGACGUGGCUGCCACGGCAGCCGCGUCAUGGCGCUAAUAGCACGGAGCGGUCGACGG